AAUUUUAUAGUUUAAAAAAAACAAUGAUUUUGUAAAUCAAAAAUAGAUAAAUUUCUUAAAAUUA
rnacentral:tRNA from 1 species